UCCAGCCGCAUUCCCCACUGGAAGCCUGGGCCCAGGGUGUAGGGGGUGUGGACACAGCCAGGCCAGUGCAUGCAGUUGGCGUCCGGGGAGGUGGUAGUACGCAGAGGAAAGGAGGUGCUGGGAGUUUCAGGGAGGUGUGGGGCUGAUAUAACUGAACAUCAAGACUCUACCAUUCUUGGCACUGGGUCUACCCUUCUCCCUGGUGUCUAGUUCUGCAGUUCAAGACCCCCUCCCACACCUCCCAGAAACUCUCCUAGCACAGAAACAGCUUUGUUUGGGGCUGCCCUGGCUGAAGCUGUGUAAGAGAGGAGACUGGCAUAGUUGUGCGUGGCAGUGGUGACAAGUGGUUUGGCUAAGUGGAGCUCCCUGCCUAGAACACCCUUUCUCACUGAGACCCCCACCCCCUCAUCCUCCUUGGACCUUCUACCAUGGAGCCCACCGCUGCCAAUAGACCAGAGCCUGGCUGCUACCUGAGGCCUCGGUGUAUGGCUCCAGGACAUCUGACAUCACAAUGAUCAGCCAAUGAGCUGCUGACAGUGGUGCAGGAGAUGCAUACAAGGUCUGGCACACCUGUUGCCCAGCCUUUGCUCAAGCUGCAUGGAAGACAGGAAAGUGAUAGAGACUCAAUCAGCCACCCUGGAAUCUUGAGAAAACAGCAGGACUAUGCCCGGGUUGGAGAGUGGAAGCUACUGGAUGCCCUAGCCAGCCCAUGGUAUGCACCAGCACUCCCCUCACCUGCAUGCCACACACGCGGACACCAAUGACAGCAGAUGUGCUCUGCUGGCACUUGCGGAUCUGGUUGGCUGCCUUCUCCUCUGAAGCAUCGUCACCAUGCUGGCGGGUACCCAUCUUGAGGUCCAGGACACAAGGCACCUCAUAGCGGGAAGUCAGGUUUUCCAAUAAGAUGAAUUCUGAGUGGUUAAGGACAAUCCUCCCUCUGAAGAAAAGGUGCUGCUACAUGGAGGCUUUGGUGCUCCAGGGCACAAAGCCUGCACACAGUGCCUCCAGAAGCCCAAGUCCACAGAGGGCCCCAUCAGUCUGCUAUUCCCCAUGCAGGGAGCCCAAGGCUGACUAGAGGGCUCACUUUGAAGAACUGAGUUCUUGUCAGGGAAGUGGCCUGAGAACUGCCUGCAUCUGGACUCAGCACAGGCCUGGGCAACACACACACACCACGGCCGCAACUCAGCGAGGUCUGGGGACAGGGCUCCACACCAGACGGCCCUAAAUUACAAAUGGAACAUCAAUUAAAUAAAUCUUAUAACUUUC